GCAAGGGCGUCGCGGGUUAGAGCCCUACCCGACGAGCAGAGCUAGAGGCACCCCUACUGCAGACCGCUAACCCGGUCAAAGAUUCUCCGGAUGCGCGCGAGGAGAUGAGACGACUACGAAUGAUGACCCUCAAAGUUUGCGCCCACUAUAGAUCAAGCGAUUCGUUUGAUGAGGGAUCAGAUCAACAAAGUUCGAUGCAAUAUAACAAAUUCGGCUCGGCUGUAUCAGGGUAAAUAAAUAAAGGUUACAAGAUUGUUUUAUUCAAGCAUUUUGGAGACUUCUACAACGAAUAAGGAUGACUAAUUUUUAAUUUUGUCGUGAUCAAAUUCGUAAUUAUGAGGAAACUCAAUUUUUUUUUUAUUUCAAAUGU